UGGCUCAGAUUGAACGCUGGCGGCAGGCUUAACACAUGCAAGUCGAGCGGGGAAAGGUAGCUUGCUACCUGACCUAGCGGCGGACGGGUGAGUAAUGCUUAGGAAUCUGCCUAUUAGUGGGGGACAACAUUCCGAAAGGAAUGCUAAUACCGCAUACGCCCUACGGGGGAAAGCAGGGGAUCUUCGGACCUUGCGCUAAUAGAUGAGCCUAAGUCAGAUUAGCUAGUUGGUGGGGUAAAGGCCUACCAAGGCGACGAUCUGUAGCGGGUCUGAGAGGAUGAUCCGCCACACUGGGACUGAGACACGGCCCAGACUCCUACGGGAGGCAGCAGUGGGGAAUAUUGGACAAUGGGCGAAAGCCUGAUCCAGCCAUGCCGCGUGUGUGAAGAAGGCCUUUUGGUUGUAAAGCACUUUAAGCGAGGAGGAGGCUACUUGGAUUAAUACUCUAGGAUAGUGGACGUUACUCGCAGAAUAAGCACCGGCUAACUCUGUGCCAGCAGCCGCGGUAAUACAGAGGGUGCGAGCGUUAAUCGGAUUUACUGGGCGUAAAGCGUGCGUAGGCGGCUUCUUA
rnacentral:rRNA from 1 species